UUUGUGACCUUUUCGGAAACUCCUACAGAAUAUUCUUAAGUACGUUGCACGAAGAUUCACUCUUCAAACAAAAGUAUAAUCGAGGCUACAAACGUAUAUUUAAAUUCCAAAUUAAAUUAAAUAAUGUUAAACUAUUUGAAGUUCUUUUUAAAAAUAAACUAUCCUGGCUAAAUAAUUGUUAAUAAAUGUUUAGUUCACAAGUUUCAUGAAUUAUCGGAGAUAAAUAACAGUUUGAGUAAUCAAUUUUGAUUUCAAUAUUCUUGGCACUAUAGUGAUCGAGUUAGUGGAAGAUAGAGAAUUCAAUUAAUAACGUAAGGAAAGUAAUACACAAUAUUUCAAUUCUGUAUCGAAAUAAAACGUUUCCUCAUUUGCAAAUAUUCCUAGCUAUCACUUGAAGAGAAAGCUCAGGAAGAGCUUGGGUAACUUUGGAAGCACAAUGGAAAGAUUAUUUGGAUUUAAUGGUGGAGUGGAUCUAAUAUUAUUAAAAAAGAGAAAGAUAGCGCUAGGUACUCGGAAAUGCUUGACAGUAGCGACAAGCUGGAUGAAGCUAUAGGAACACGAAAAACGACUAUUCGGUUCGCCACGUCAGCGAGCUUCGAUAUUACCUUCUCUACUAAAGGUCAUUCAAUGUAUUCACUUGGAGAGACUGGAGAUAGUUAUGCACAUUGUCUGUUCCUCAGACUUUUUCCUGCACGUGUGCAUCCGAUAACAGAGAAACACGUGCGUACCUUCUCCCCUUCGUUCGUGGUGCAGGGAUUUUAUGUCAGAAGCACGUAUCACCGGAAAUCUAACGCGUGCUGGCAAUACGUGUAUAUUAUGCGUUAUGUCAUCUUUUCGGUAAAACGAAAGCGAGUAUGCAAAUGCCAAAAUGGGAAAGAGUCGGUGAGAUCAUUUGAUAUUUGUAAUUGGUUUAACGUUAGAAUUGUUAAAUUCGUCCGAAUGAUAGACUUAUAAUUUUUAAAUUUUAUUUGUAUCGGUAAAUAACGUAUAUACUCGUUCAUAUGUUAAAUAACUUAUUAAGAUAUUAUUGUAUUAUUGCAUAAUGAUCGUAAUAACACAUGGAUUAAUUUAAACAUACAGUUACAGAUCAAAGUUAAUGAUAUUCCCAAUGGAGUGUAAAUCGAAUACGUGUAGGUGCUAGAGUAAAUUUAAUUUUUUUGAAAUUUGAACGAUCUUUUUAAAUUGCUUUCUAGCCUACGCGACUGUCGUAUGAAAACGAGAUUUCCUGCAUUAAUCAUAUUUUAGUAAUUCUUCCCAUUGGUCCGCGCUAUUGUUUUAUAAAUUGCUUCAUUUUAAUUAAAUCUGGUUGAAUUUAAUUUCGUAACGAUCGACGUUCUGUCGACUCUGUAGCACACGUGCGCUUCCGGCAGGCAACAUAUGUGUAUGCUUGUCCUAGCUGUACGCUUGAAUAUUAUUGAAAUAUAAUCUGAAAACAUUAAUAGCCAUUUGUUAAUAUCCGUCGACAAACAACUGUAUCACCCGAAAAUGUUUCAUUAAUUAUAAUUUAAAUAUAAUUUCUUCUGUCUCUGAUUCAAACAGUUGCUGCAGUAAAAUGUUUUUCCAAUUACGUUUCCAUUACAUUUUCUCCAGAUGCGUGUUAUUCUUUUAUUUUAAUAAUAUCUGUCGAUCUGUCUAUAUCGUAAAUGAUUUAUAAAUUCAAUAAAUUAAAAUUUGUUAGUUUUCUAUUUCAAGAUAUCUAAAUGGCCAUUCGGUGUUCUGAAUAUUAAUUUAUGAGCAUUAAAAACUUAGUUUUUCAUUCAGUAAUUUAAUUUAUAUCGUUACAUGUUAUAUUGUUACAAUUAAUUAGAAUCUUUUAAAUUGAGAAUAUCCUCUUCAAUAAAUGUAAAUUCAAAUUCUAAAGGGAACAGUCAUAUUAUCUUUGUCACACGUGUCAAGUUUCUUUUUUAAUAAUAAGGGAGAUCAUUACCAUUGAUCAUUACCACGCCAUAUUUUCAAGAAUCAAUAAAAAGCUUGCUAAAAACGCUAGAAAGAUGUUAUUUUUGUUGUUUCUUGCGACAUCGAUAUUGACCGGCUGAUACUCCGGGACGCGUCGUCAAAUACCACAGCUAAAUAAACUGAAUUGCUCUGCGGCUUUGAUAUUACUUUCGGUGAACUUCCGUCAUUAAUUCGGCGAACUUUAGAAGAAACGCUGAAAGCAAUAUCUGUCUUAAGAAUAGCUGCGUGGAAGUCUGUGUCCGUGUAACAGAUUUCAGUGAACUGUCACACUGAACAUCGAUGUAGUUGUUGAAAUGAAUUUGGUGCAUCGAACAGAUAGGUUAUUAUUUUUACAGAAAUCAAAGUAAUCUCAUUGAAAGUUUAAAAUACUCCAAAUCUGAUUGCGUGACCGAUAAAUAUUGAUCUUUGAUCGAUAAUCAUAAAUUGUUAUAUUGUUAGUUAUUGUUAUAUAUACAUAAAUAUUAUAUUAAUAACAUUUAUAUAAUUAUAUUUAUAUAUUCGAUACCAAUAUUUGGAAUACCACUUCAAUGAUUAUAGAUUAUAGUCAAUAUGUAAACAUAAAUUAUAUGAAUUAUAUAAGGUAUAACAUAAACGUACCAAGUAUGAUUAACUCUUUAUUGACGAUCCAACCUUUUAUCUUCGUACUCAUUCCCACACAAUUUUUAUAUUAUAUACGAAAAAGGUUCAAAUAUUGACAAGCAUCACAAAAUUCUUUCAUUCGAAGCCUAGAACAGUAAACGAUUUAGAAUUACAAGGUUGAUUUCUAAAAUCGUUCGUUGUUCUCGUUAUUUUUAACUUACGAUGAACGAUCUUCGCGUUAAACAAUGUCUAUAUGUUAUUUCUAUUUUUAUGUGAAAUAGUUUCUAUAUUUAAUUUUCAAUAUCUCGAAUUUGAAACGAUGUGAACUAGAAGCUCAUUUUUAAUGUAAUAAUUGUUCUUAAAUGAAACUGUACAAAUUUACUUUUUCGUUGUAAGAAGAUAGAAAAUGUUAAUAAAAUAAAGUUAAAAUUAUACGAACAACUCUGUCAUAGCUGAGUAAUUUCUAAGACAAAAUUUUCAUAUUACACGAAUG